rnacentral:rRNA from 1 species
GUCGGCUCGCCGCGCCGUACAUGCUCGUGCAGGUAUAACCUGAACGCCUUCCUCCCCGCUGAAGUCUUUAAACCCGAAGGCCUUCUUCAUACACGCGGCAUGGCUGCAUCAGGCUUGCGCCCAUUGUGCAAUAUUCCCCACUGCUGCCUCCCGUAGGCCCCAACUGCAGCCUCCCGAAG